rnacentral:pre_miRNA from 1 species
UUGGGGCAAAAUAGUGAGUAGCCGAUUUGGGGAAGUAAUCAACCCUUGGGAUAAAAUUAAAUUUGCUUCUUUUUACCCCAAAAACUUUUUACUGUGGAUAAAAAGAACCAGAUUUAGAUUUAACAAAAGGGUUAAUGAUGUAUUUUCCUCAAGAAUGCUGCUCGCUAUUUUGCCCCAA